UCGAGAAUAUUGGGCAAUGGAGGGAACUCUGACCCAGCCAUGCCGCGUGCAGGAUGAAGGCGUUAUGCGUUGUAAACUGCUUUUUAUAUAGGAAGAAAUAGUCCUUGCGAGGAAAGUUGACGGUACUAUAUGAAUAAGCACCGGCUAACUCCGUGCCAGCAGCCGCGGUAAUACGGAGGGUGCAAGCGUUGUCCGGAUUUAUUGGGUUUAAAGGGUGCGUAGGCGGUUUAUUAAGUCAGUGGUGAAAGACGGUCGCUCAACGAUUGCAGUGCCAUUGAUACUGGUAGACUUGAGUAUGAUUGAGGUAGCUGGAAUGGAUAGUGUAGCGGUGAAAUGCAUAGAUAUUAUCCAGAACACCAAUUGCGUAGGCAAGUUACUAAGUCAUAACUGACGCUGAGGCACGAAAGUGUGGGUAUCAAACAGGAUUAGAUACCCACGUAGUCCCUGAGCGGGCUGGCAAGGCGCAU
rnacentral:rRNA from 1 species